UUGCUUCUCUGGAUGAGUUGCGAACGGGUGAGUAACGCGUAGGUAACCUGCCUGGUAGCGGGGGAUAACUAUUGGAAACGAUAGCUAAUACCGCAUAAGAGUAGAUGUUGCAUGACAUUUGCUUAAAAGGUGCAAUUGCAUCACUACCAGAUGGACCUGCGUUGUAUUAGCUAGUUGGUGGGGUAACGGCUUACCAAGGCGACGAUACAUAGCCGACCUGAGAGGGUGAUCGGCCACACUGGGACUGAGACACGGCCCAGACUCCUACGGGAGGCAGCAGUAGGGAAUCUUCGGCAAUGGACGGAAGUCUGACCGAGCAACGCCGCGUGAGUGAAGAAGGUUUUCGGAUCGUAAAGCUCUGUUGUAAGAGAAGAACGAGUGUGAGAGUGGAAAGUCCACACUGUGACGGUAUCUUACCAGAAAGGGACGGCUAACUACGUGCCAGCAGCCGCGGUAAUACGUAGGUCCCGAGCGUUGUCCGGAUUUAUUGGGCGUAAAGCGAGCGCAGGCGGUUAGAUAAGUCUGAAGUUAAAGGCUGUGGCUUAACCAUAGUACGCUUUGGAAACUGUUUAACUUGAGUGCAAGAGGGGAGAGUGGAAUUCCAUGUGUAGCGGUGAAAUGCGUAGAUAUAUGGAGGAACACCGGUGGCGAAAG
rnacentral:rRNA from 1 species